rnacentral:lncRNA from 1 species
AACGCAAGUCCACUGACCAGUAAAACAAUAAACUCUUAAACAAUUUCCCUAUAAGUAGCCCCUUUACCCCUACCCCUUCAACUCAUUCAAAACAUCCUCACAACAGUUAGUGCAAAACUUGAACACAAAUUCUUCCAUUCAAGACAUCAUGAAAAUGAACAACACCAACAUGGGAAGCUCCAAAAGAAGGGUUUCAAGCAGAGGCCUUGGAGGCCUCCUUAGAGAACAAAGGGCAAGGCUCUACAUCAUAAGGAGAUGUGUGGUUAUGCUUCUUUGCUAUCAUGAUUGAGUCGAACCCUUCAUCCACUGGCGGAGUCAAGAAAAAUUUACACCUUUUUUCUUACUUUCCCCCCUACUUUCUUAGAGUGUAAAUAGCAAUCGCUACACGUAUUAGCUAGAAGCUAACAAUUUUGUACUAACCGGCCUAAUAAGGCUUCAUGUAUACCUCCAAUAUCUCGAAUUGAAACGAUCAUUUUGAUUUGAUUUCAUUAUAUGGGUUAAAUUUCUUUUCUUGUCGUCUUUUUUUCCCUAUUCAAUCUUUUGAUCUUGAUGAAAUGAUGAAGGUCGAAUUUUUAUUUAUUUAUUUUUUUCCAUUUUUUGCAAUAUAUGUUUGCUUAAUUUUACAUGGCAGCAAAUACAACAUGAUCAAUGAGAGAAUUUCAACUAAAUGGUAUUUUCGUAGCAAUUGGGGUUAUGGGUUUUCAGUUUAUGGAGGUUCUUUCAAAGAACUCAGAUUCUGGUGAGCUGAUGGAAGGAUUCAACUGAGAAUUUUUUAGGCUUAUGAAUAUCAAUUGAAAAGAUAAUUUAGUUUUCGAUCUGAAUUUAUUGGAAAAAUAUUUUUUGAGAGGAGCAGCUUUUGGUUUGUAUUCAGCUGAUUGAGUGAUCAAUUGCCCAA